AUGCCAGAUGAUUAUCGGAGGCCUUCCCACCGAACCCACAGCUUCAGGGGGACGCAGGGAGGCUGGCAAGAUAGGGAAAUCCUGUGGCCAAAAGCUUUUGGAGCGAGCAGUUUCUCCUCCCACUUGCAGAGACCACACUUAGAUUUUUGUGGUGUCAUAAAUAUGCUCUUUAGUGUGCGCACUAAUAGGUCUCUGGAACACAUCUGGGUUUGGUGGCUCCGGACCCCGAGGCGUGUGCAUGAAGGCGAGGAUCAUACAACAGGACUAGGUGCCUGGCUGCCAAAUGAAUGAAAUCUAAGGAAUCCACAGGCAUUUACAGCAAAGCUGAGAUUUUCCUAAUGGACACCUAAAAGUUAUGCUCGUGAAACUCCUAAAUCUUGUCUCAAUAGAGACGGGGCACCUAGCUCCUUUUGCAAAUCCUCCUCGCAAGACUGCGUUCAAGUCCCUGGGUAAGUAUCCUGAUUUUCGAACAUGUUGGCUGCAACCGCGUGUGCUAUGAGAAGCUGCUGAACAUAGCACAUGUGAAAAUUGAAUUAUUUAUUUGUAAGUCUAAAUAUGAUCCUAUUAGCCUAAUUUAAAAUGCUUUUUAAAACCUAGAACCAGCACUUGUACCCAACGAAGUUACACAGAACAAAGUGUUUUCCAAACUUCUUACUAAUAUUAUGAAGCUACUAACACACUAAUGUAACAGAACCACACUGAGAAACUGGUAUAAGGUAUACUGACCUGGUAGCUCAAGUUCCACUCUCAUUCCCCCACAGAAAUUGUAGUUGUGAUACACAGGAGUAGGAAGUCAAAUAAUUUGAGUGUUCUUUUUUUUUUUUUUUUUCCUUUUUUUUUUUUUUUUUUCCUGGGAAGAUAUUGUACAUUUGAGGCAUCUACCUGCACUGUCUCUCUGGGGUUACACCUAUAAAAUGUAUUUCAUUGUUUUUUUGAGAACUUGCUAGUGACUUUGAGAUAUCCUGGAAACCAACAUAUAAGUGAUGAUAUGGCAAGAGGCAUAUAUACAAGAGGAGUACUCAAGAUUUUUCAAACUGCAGCUUAGGAAAAGGUUGUGUGUAUUAGUGUGGAGUCCUAACCUUGUCUACAAGAUUCCAUGGCUCAUUUCCUGUAGCAGCACAGCCUCUUCCCUUCUAUCUUCUUCACGGGGAGGUCAAUUAUUUUUCUUCUGUGAAUGAAAUAUUUGCCCCUGAAAAGUAGUCCCAGGUCAAAUUAGUCAUAUAGUUGCAGCUGGAAACUAUUUUUGGCCUAGGUUUACAACACUGAGGAGGAUAUCCAGAUCCUUUACCAAAUAUUUAAGGCACUCAGCCAAGAUGUGGGAGAUGCAGGUUCAGAUCUCUCUGGGGAAAGGGAUUUGAAUCCUGCCUCUGGGAGAUAACCAUCAUCAGCAUCUUGCUGUGUAGGGAAUGGUGGGAUAAGAGAGAAAGUAUGAAUCAGUGAAGCAGCCUGAGGUUUGAGCAGCUUCUUGUCUCAUGGAGCUGUGGGUCCUUCCUCAGCUCCCAAGCUCCAGGGACCUGGACGGGGCACUGAGCUGGGCAAGAGGCUUGGUUUGACCUGUGGCUUGUCAGUUCUGGCAAAUUAAAACAGACCAUUUAUACAUUCAGCCAUCACCUGUUUCGGAGGCAAGAUUGGGCUAACCAUCCUCUGUCCCACUCCCAGAGAAACCAGUCUUUCAUUUUUGUUUUUUUUUUUUCCUACUCAUGCUCCUUAAACUGAAGCUCUGAGACUUACCUGCCUCUGAGCCAGGAUCCUCACUCAUCCUGGCAGGGAUUGGGCUGUGGCCUCUGGGACACCAAAUAAAAGCAAGAGAGGGGUAAUAUUUAUUGGCUUU
rnacentral:lncRNA from 1 species